GGGAGGUAGUGACAAUAAAUAACAAUACGGGGUUCUUUUGGAUCUCGUAAUUGGAAUGAGUACAAUUUAAAUCUCUUAACGAGAACCAAUUGGAGGGCAAGUCUGGUGCCAGCAGCCGCGGUAAUUCCAGCUCCAAUAGCGUAUAUUAAAGUUGUUGCAGUUAAAAAGCUCGUAGUUGAAUUUCGGGAUUAGUAGGUUGGUCGUGCCUCUGGUAUGCACUGGCUUUACUGGUUCCUCCUUCUUGAAGAACAGUAAUGUCAUUAAUUUGGUGUUGCAGGGAAACAGGACUGUUACUCUGAAAAAAAUUAGAGUGUUUAAAGCAGGCUAACGCUUGAAUACAUUAGCAUGGAAUAAUGAAAUAGGACGUUUGAUCCUAUUUUGUUGGUUUCUAGGAUUGACGUAAUGAUUAAUAGGGAUAGUUGGG
rnacentral:rRNA from 1 species